GCAGAAACACAUGACAUUAAUUAACAGGUUAAAUCAUCCCGCUCUGCACGGAGCGAUACAGAAAGUUUACCAGAAGGUAAAACUCAUCGGGAAGAAGCUGGAGAUGUUUCUGCUUGGACAUGGAGAGCGUCGCUGACGCAGGGUGGUGUUAUUAAUGUCUGGGGCUGGGUGUAGCCUCUGCCGCUGCACAAAUAUGCAAAAACAAAGCCAGCGGACUCCAAAUCGGCCUCACUACUGUCUCCUGGAGCGAAGAGGAGAAGAACUGCAGCAUUUUCUGGUCAAACAGCAGAAAACUAAACACAAAACACGAUCAGAGGGCUGACUGAAGGCAAAACAACCUUCAGUUUGUUUGAUGGAGCAAAACUGAAGCAGAACUUCAAGGUUUGAGAAAUCCUUUAGUAUCCAUGGCAACCGUUCAGCUGUUAAAAACCCCAAACCUGCAGAAACAGGAUCACAGCCUGAAACUUCACAGUUCAUCACCACAAACCUCAAUCAGUAACCUGGAACCUCUUAUGAGCGUUGCAUGGUGUGAACUGCCUUUCCCACAAGAACUAACGUCAAACAGACGCUCCACCAAACCCCCAGUAAAUACUUCACAUCAUCAGAAGGUUUCAUUGGCGCAAUUAAGCUGCAGGCAGAUGUUUUUCUACUCCGUUGUCACGGCUAACCUUUAGGAAAGCUCUCUAGGAGGACCUGGAGCCCACGAAGGACGACUUUCCACUCAAGUGAUUUCAUCAGUAAUGAGGCACUAUAAGCUGCAGAUGUUGUGUCAAACUCUCCGGCAGGCGCCAUGGCAACGGGGUGAACACACACAGCGGAGCUUGCCCAAGGUGAUCCAAACCCUCCUGUAUGCGCUGAGCGCGCGCCAAGCGAGCUGAUGUCUCUCAGGCGUCGUCAAUGCAAAGACGCAACACAAACCCGGCAGUUUGGACUUUCUGUUGGAAACACGUUCAGGUUUCAGCUCUGCUGGCGGCCAUGUUCAAAGUUCAGUUCUCGGCUGCACCAGCUUCCACUCCACUGAUCACCAGGAAAUGAGCUGAAGUUAAGAUUUCUUGCGCUCGGAAGAGGUGCAUUUUUUUCAGCAGUAUAAAUUGGUUUAUUUGACUGAACUGCAGUAGAAACUUUUAUGCAUCGCGAGUCACGUGAUCAACAACCGGAUGUUACUGCAGGCGGAAAGGAUGAAGAAGACGACAAAUAGGAAAUGUAAGGGGAUUUUUUCAAAUGGGCAAAUUAAAAAUACAGAAAAAAAAUCUUAUUUAUAAAAAGUUUUGUGCUACGAUGAGGUGGUUUAUCAGAAACUGGUUCAUUUCACAAAACUGUAAUGGAAAUGAGGACAGGAAGUGGGAGGAGGAUGAUGGCGCAGUUUGUUGUUUUAAUGUGCAAAAAAAGUUGAAAGUACAAAAAUAAAUUUGAUUAGUGAAAAUAUGCAAAUUUAGAAAAAAACUUGUAUUUUUCAAUAAAACAUUGUUGGGACGAGGUUGUUGUUUGGACAUAUCAAAAAUAAACAGUUUAUUUUGCAAAAAUG